UUUCGCAAUGCCCGAAAGGGUGACCGAGCGACGCCGCGUGUGGGAUGAAUGCCUUCGGGUUGUAAACCACUGUCAGUAGGGACGAAUGCCCGGAUAGUGAAUUCGGGAGUGACGGUACCUGCAGAGGAAGCCCCGACUAACUCCGUGCCAGCAGCCGCGGUAAUACGGAGGGGGCAAGCGUUGUUCGGAAUUAUUGGGCGUAAAGAGCACGUAGGCGGCCUUGCAAGUCAGUUGUGAAUGCCUUCUGCUUAACGGAAGAACAGCAGCUGAUACUGCAAGGCUAGAGUGCGGAAGGGGAGAGUGGAACUUCUGGUGGAGCGGUGAAAUGCGUAGAUAUCAGAAGGAACACCGGCGGCGAAGGCGACUCUCUGGUCCGUAACUGACGCUGAGUGUGCGAAAGCUAGGGGAGCAAACGGGAUUAGGUACCCCGGUAGUCCUAGCCGUAAACGAUGGGCACUAAGUAGAGGGGUUUUA
rnacentral:rRNA from 1 species